GGGAACGUAGCUUAACCUGGGAAAGCACUCGACUGAAGCUCGAGGUAUUGGGGGUUCAAAUCCCCCCGUUCCCA
rnacentral:tRNA from 1 species